rnacentral:tRNA from 1 species
GGCCUCGUAGCUCAGCUGGCAGAGCAUGCACGUACAAAGCGUAUACGGCGUCCAUGCGUGGGUUUGAAUCCCACCGAGGCUA